rnacentral:rRNA from 1 species
AGAGGGUGAAACUCCCGUCCGCCUGGUAGAAUGAGUCUUUGUCAACGGGUCAAGUUGUUUGGGAUUGCAGCUCUAAUUUGGUGGUAAAUUCCAUCUAAAGCUAAAUAUUGGUGGGAGACCGAUAGCGUACAAGUACCGUGAGGGAAAGAUGCAAAGAACUUUGAAAAGAGAGUUAAAGAGUACCUGAAAUUGCUGAAACGGAAGCGAAGGAAACCAGUGUUCGUUGGUUCAUAUUUCCUUGGCCACUUGUGGUUUGGGCGCUGUGAGCUUGCGUGGGUUUGGGUUGGUUGAUCCCUUUGGAAGAGCGCAGUCAGAGUUGAUGUCU